rnacentral:tRNA from 1 species
GGGCAGUUAGUUCAGCUGGCUAGAACGCUUCCUUGACAUGGAAGAGGUCACAGGUUCAAGUCCUGUACUGCCCACCA